UCCGGUUUGGCACCGGCAGUCUCCCUAGAGUUCCCGGCAUGAUCCGCUGGCAACUAAGGACAGGGGUUGCGCUCGUUGCGCCACUUAAGGCAACACCUCACGGCACGAGCUGACGACAGCCAUGCACCACCUGUGCAGGCUCCGAAGAGCGCCCGCUUUCACGGGUUUCACCCUGCAUGUCAAGCCCAGGUAAGGUGGGGAUGACGUCCGAGAGUACGUCC
rnacentral:misc_RNA from 1 species